rnacentral:rRNA from 1 species
CCUACGGGAGGCAGCAGUGAGGAAUAUUGGACAAUGGGCGCAAGCCUGAUCCAGCCAUGCCGCGUGCAGGAAGACGGUCCUAUGGAUUGUAAACUGCUUUUGUACGGGAAGAAACACUCCUACGUGUAGGAGCUUGACGGUACCGUAAGAAUAAGGAUCGGCUAACUCCGUGCCAGCAGCCGCGGUAAUACGGAGGAUCCAAGCGUUAUCCGGAAUCAUUGGGUUUAAAGGGUCCGUAGGCGGUUUAGUAAGUCAGUGGUGAAAGCCCAUCGCUCAACGAUGGAACGGCCAUUGAUACUGCUAGACUUGAAUUACUAGGAAGUAACUAGAAUAUGUAGUGUAGCGGUGAAAUGCUUAGAUAUUACAUGGAAUACCAAUUGCGAAGGCAGGUUACUACUAGUGGAUUGACGCUGAUGGACGAAAGCGUGGGGAGCGAACAGGAUUAGAUACCCUGGUAGUCCACGCCGUAAACGAUGGAUACUAGCUGUUCGGGGCAACCUGAGUGGCUAAGCGAAAGUGAUAAGUAUCCCACCUGGGGAGUACGUUCGCAGAAUGAAACUCAAAGGAAUUGACGG